rnacentral:rRNA from 1 species
AGUGAACGCUGGCGGUAGGCCUAACACAUGCAAGUCGAACGGCAGCACAGUAAGAGCUUGCUCUUACGGGUGGCGAGUGGCGGACGGGUGAGGAAUACAUCGGAAUCUACUUUUUCGUGGGGGAUAACGUAGGUAAACUUACGCUAAUACCGCAUACGACCUACGGGUGAAAGCAGGGGAUCUUCGGACCUUGCGCGAUUGAAUGAGCCGAUGUCGGAUUAGCUAGUUGGCGGGGUAAAGGCCCACCAAGGCGACGAUCCGUAGCUGGUCUGAGAGGAUGAUCAGCCACACUGGAACUGAGACACGGUACAGACUCCUACGGGAGGCAGCAGUGGGGAAUAUUGGACAAUGGGCGCAAGCCUGAUCCAGCCAUACCGCGUGGGUGAAGAAGGCCUUCGGGUUGUAAAGCCCUUUUGUUGGGAAAGAAAAGCAGCAGGUUAAUACCCCGCUGUUCUGACGGUACCCAAAGAAUAAGCACCGGCUAACUUCGUG